rnacentral:rRNA from 1 species
UACGUAGGGAGCGAGCGUUAUCCGGAUUUAUUGGGUGUAAAGGGUGCGUAGACGGGAAUGCAAGUUAGUUGUGAAAUCCCUUGGCUUAACUGAGGAACUGCAACUAAAACUACAUUUCUUGAGUGCAGGAGAGGUAAGUGGAAUUCCUAGUGUAGCGGUGAAAUGCGUAGAUAUUAGGAGGAACACCAGUGGCGAAGGCGACUUACUGGACUGUAACUGACGUUGAGGCACGAAAGUGUGGGGAGCAAACAGG